UCAAACUUGGUCAUUUAGAGGAAGUAAAAGUCGUAACAAGGUUUCCGUAGGUGAACCUGCGGAAGGAUCAUUACCGAGCUCGCGCCCCCCGGGGCCGACCUCCCACCCGUGUGUGUGUUAUACGCUGUUGCUUUGGCGGGCCGCACGUCGUGCCCGGGGCUGCACCGCCCUGGCGUGCCCGUCGGGGGACACCUGAACUCUGUCUGUUGGUGUUGUCUGAGUCCUACAUCAAUAAUCAAAACUUUCAACAACGGAUCUCUUGGCUCUGGCAUCGAUGAAGAACGCAGC
rnacentral:misc_RNA from 1 species